GGUCGAGCACGAGCCGAAUCGUCCGAUCCGAGUCAGUUGCAGUCGAGAGUCGAGUCACGACCGUCCCACCUACCCCGGCCAACGUGAACCGGUGCGGGACAAAAACAACAGGAAAGAACGAGAACGAAAGUGGUGGUGGGGGCAAACCAAGUCUUGGAAAUUACUUUCAAGCCAUUUUUAUCUUUUGGUUUCUCAAAUUCCCAAAAAGUUGAACGCAAAUCUCGCCACGCUCGAUGCAACAACCAUCUUUUCACAACGGGCCUUGUUGGAAAACUUGAAGAGGAUUACCUUUUUUUCUAUUACCUCGUGGUUUUUAGUGUGUUGUGAGUGAGUUUUUAAAUCAUCUACAACCGUCUAGAUACAAUCAACGUCAUCGGUUUUUAGUGUGUGUGGGUGAGUGACAGCAACAGCAGCCGAGCCCCAAACAACGGAAGAGCCACGCCGGAGUGCCUACCAUGCGCCAUGACGGCGAUCGAUGCGAGCGUUUCGGAACUGUCGUCAUCGCUGGUUGUCAGACGUCCACUGUCGAUGUUGCUCCCGCCUUCGCCUUCAUCCGAAUUCGCCCUGUUCGCCUCAUCGUCCAGUAGCGGCGGACCAAAUGUCGCCAACGCAUCACCCGGGACUGGAACGGCCAGCAGCGGGGUAGUCGUUUUACCUACCGAAUUGCUUUUAUCAUCGCCUUCAGGGCCGUCAACCGAAUCGUCGUCCCUUCAGCUGGUCGGAUGUUAUGGCGACAAUUCGACCAAUAAUUCAUCGGAUGACAGGAGGCAGUUGGUGACGAUUGGCGGUGUAGUAGGAGACAUUAGCCGGUGUAGUAGCACCGGGAGUAAUAACAAUUGGCUGGCCGAUUUGAGCGUUGAAGUAUGUAAAGUGGAAACAAUCGAAGAGGAUGGAAGUGACAACAGCGGCGGAGGUGGUGGGGGCGGUGGUGAAGGCGGAGGCGAUUGCGGUGGCGGCAGUGACGACUGGGACGAGUCCGUCUUUUUCGAAGCUGCAGCUGCCGCCGCCGCCAGUUGCUGCGCCACUGGACAGUCCAGUCAUCAUCUACACCAUCACAACCACCAUCACCACCAUCAGCACGACGUCACCAACAACCUGGACGUCCUCCUGGGCAACCCCAAUCUUCACCAUUCGAGCGGAGGUGCUGAUCUGCUGGAAUUGGAUGUCCAAAGCUGCUGUACAGUCGAUUUCCCAUUGUCGCCUAAACAGCUCCUACUGGGCGGCUCAUCCAACAGCCGGAGUAGUAGCAGCAGCAGCAGCAGUAGUAGUAGCAGCAGCAGUAGCAGUAGUAAUAGCAAUAGCAGCUGCUGCCCCGAAGACGGGCAACUUAUUGCCGGCGCCGGAUUGUUGUCGUCUCCUCCGUCGACGCCGUCGCCUUCAUCUUCGGGCGGUUCAACACGACAACUGCAGCAACAGCAGCAGCCGUUGCCGCAACCGCCGCAGCCCUGCUCAGUAAGUGACAAAAUGUGUAGUAAAGUGUUUACGAGCACGUCGGCCCUUGCCAAACACAAACUGACGCACAGCGACGAGCGAAGAUUUUCCUGUCAGUUGUGCGGCAAAGCUUUCAAACGCCAGGAUCAUUUGAAUGGACAUUUGAUAACUCACCGGGAAAAGAAGCCGUUUGAAUGCCGGGCUGAUGGAUGCGGUAAAUCGUAUUGCGACGCCCGGUCACUACGUCGCCAUCAGGAUAACCAUCACGCACUGCCCGGAAGUUUGGCCCUAGCCGGAACGACCCAGCAGCCGCCGUUGAGUCCGUCGCUGAAUGGACUGGGCUCUUCGUUGCCGUCGAGGUCGACAUCGUCGGCCUCCUCCAACGCCGGAUUGUUUAUCAGCGAAUUGAGCGGCGGAUCGCCGGAUCUCGUCCUGCCUUCUCAUUCCGUCGGCUCGUCGCAACAUUAUCCGGCGCCCAACAGCAACAGCAAUUCGACGACAUCCAACGGAGGCAGUGGCCAUUUCCAGUCGACUGAGAACGGCCAACAAUUCGGCGGAUGGGCCGUGACGACCACCAACGGCACCACCACCUCGUCAGGUGGUCACGAUUCUGUCGUUUCGCUGGAUUCGUGCAGCAUCCAGUACGGUGGUGCUUCCGGCACCACUAAUGGCGGCGGCGGCUACCAGUCAGUUUCUUCGUGCCCAUCUGAGAACCAAGAAGCUCACCAGCAGGUCACCUGGACUUCGGUGCCGGCAGAAAGCGUGUCGCCGUCGAAAGGCGGUGGCAAGAAGCCAGCGAAUUCCGCCGGAAUUAAAAUGGCCGACAGACAGAAUAAGGUCGAAUCAACUGGUAACAACAGCAACAAAAUUCCGUCUACCUCCACGCCAGCCACCGCUGCCGCUGCUGCCGUUGUCAAAGCGACGAAAAAAGCCAAAGGAUCCAGUCUCGGCAGCAAAGUCCAGCACGCCCAGAAUGGCAAGGUCGGCGGAGUGGCAAAGAAUAAUAAUGGCAAUUCCAAGAAAAUCGCGGCAGAUUCCAGCAUUGGCGCCAAUAAUGACGGCCUGACGACCCAGCAAUUGGAAUUGAUCCAGGAAAUUAUGCGACAGACCCAGGAGCAGCACAGGUUGAUGCAGGAAGAGCAGCAGCAGCAGCAGCAACACAUCCAGCAGCACAACAAGCCUGCCCAACCGUCGCAUCACUCUUCCGGAGGCCAGGCCACAACCAAAGCCAAAAAGGCCAACAACAAGGUUAAAUGGACGGCUCCUGCGGCGUCGACAACGACCGGCGAUCCGAAUCCAUCGACCGGUCAACCAUCGACGGCGACCUCAACGAAUUCCUCCGGCCCUGGAGCGGAUGGGACAGGAGCCAACGGAGGGGUUUCCGGCCGUCCGGUCGAAUGCAACGUGUGCCAGCGGCGUUUCAAAAACACGCCGGCCCUUAAUGGCCACAUGCGCCUGCACGGCGGUUUCCUCAAGAAAGAGGCCGAAUGCGGCGGAUCCAGCGGGUCGGGAAACGGAUCCGGCGGCGGGAGUGGCGGUGGCAACUCGGGCGGCGGAGGCGGAGGAAGCGGCGGAGGUGGAAGUAGCAAAAAGCCGGGCGAGAGUAAAAAAGAUCCCAACACGCCGCCGCUAUUGACGGCUUCCGUCUCGGUGCGGGCCCUCAUUGAAGAGAAAAUCAUCCAGCGCCGGAAUAAUAUGGCAGCCAACAAUUCUUCAACGACUUUGACGGGUUCUUCUUCAGGUUCUUCAGGUCCUUCAGGUACUUCGGUGUCUGCAGCCACGGCGACGUCGUCGUCGUCGGCGUCAUCCGCCGCCAGUUCUGUUGUUGGCGUUGUCCAACAACAAGAACAACAUUCUCAUGCCUUACCAAUCUCAGUUCAACCGGUCAGUCAACCGGAAGCGCCUGUUUUGUUGAUGGACGUCCUAGAAGAGGAUCAAAGAGACUCGAUGGAAGCUCAGUCGCAGCAGCCGCUCAUUCCCAAAUUAGAGCCGGAAGGUUAUUUCGAAGGAUCACUAUUGGCUCUCAGCCCAGUCAGCCUUCACAGAGCCUUGGAGGGUGAUAUGGAUGCAUUACCUGAUGGCGAUCCGGCAAGUAACGAAGGCGGAGUCGCUUCCGGAUUGCAUAACUUGCACCACCAUCAUCACCACCACCACAGCAACAACCACCACGGUGAAAACUUUUUCUCGACGUCAUCGUCGUCCUCCUCUGCGCUGAGUGACGUCCCGUUGCUGGAUGAUUCCGUUUUCCACCAGGUUUCGGCAGCCGCAGCUUCCGCUCUGUUAUCCGACAUUAGCAGCCUGGACCUACAGUCGUACAUGGACACGGGCAACAGCGGCGGAAGUCACCACCACCACCAGCAACAGCACGGCCAGAACGGUGUGGGCCAGUACUCUGAUUUGUCGCAAUAUCUGGCCAGCAGCGCCGGAGAUCACGUCGUCAACGACUCGGUCGUUGUGGACUCUGGGAUUUACGGACACGAUCCGGUGGGCCCGAACGGCGGCUUCCAGCACCAACACGACGGCGGCUACGUGUCGUACCACCACCAGCACGAAACGAGCGUCGGAGUCGUUGCCGGAUUGGUGGGCGCCGGAUUCGGUUUCGAACCGUCGCCUUCGACUCCUCUGUCGUCGCUCUGCUCUCCGCAGCAUUACAUCCAGCACCAGUAUCAGCAACACGCCCACCAGCCGGAUUACACGCACAACAGCAACAGCGUCGACACUUGUUCCGGCGGAGGAGGAGGAUACCAAUCCAUGUUGAUGCAGGGCGUUGACGCGUCACCUUACACCCCGUCUCCGUCUCCGGUCAGUCCGUCGGUCUCUUCUCUUCCGCACUUGCAGCGCUUCCAGCCGCAGCAGCAGCAGCAGGACGCUGUGGGAUUCUAUUCCACUUCGAGUUUCUCGAGCGGAUCGGGCCACAACCAGAGCAAUUUCAUGAUCGACUGCGCCAACAGCGUCUUGUACAACAUGGAGACGAGCGGAGGCGGCGGAGGCGGAUGGGACCAUGCGGCCGAUUUGACCACCGUCGCCACGGACGCUCUGCCGCAGCUGAUGGAACAGGACCAGCCGCCGGAUCAGUUGGAUCACCAUCACCACCAUCAGCAGCCGCUUCCGCAGUCGUCUCCCGUUUUGCUCAAGCCCGUCAAAGUCAAGAAAAGUCGGCCGUCGAGAGCCAAAAAGGCCAACGACAACGAAGCGGGCGACGUCAAGCGGCGCAAAACGAUGGCCGGCAAGAAAUGUAACAAGCGCCAAGGUGACGAAAUGGACGACGUCUUGAUGCUGGGCAAAGGCAACGGCUGUCAAUUCGUCAGCGCCAUGAACUUGACGUCGUCGUCGUCGCCGGCCACCACCACCACCCGCCACAACCUCAUGUUGAAUCCUAAACGAAACGGGGCUGGACUUUAUUGGAAUCUAGUCAGGGACAAAUUGGUGAGUCCGCCACAAGUUCCGCUUCCCAGCUCUGUGGCGACGAGCUCAACGUCCCGUCAAAAGAGCCGCGUCCGCAUCGGCAAGGAUCACCAGUGCGCGGCGUUGCCGCGUUGCAAGAAAAAAGAGGCCAACAAGGAACGCGAAUCGGCCGUCCUUUGCUGGAGCGCCAGCAACGGACAACAGGUGACGGAGCAGCAGAUUGGCCGGCUGCUGGCCUGGUCUCGCUCUCCCGCUCUGCCUGGACCCAAGCGGACCGAGGAGGAGGUCCUGGCCGUCGUGACCCACUUUCACGGCGACAUCCAAGCCGCCAAAUUGCACUUGCUGACCCAACCGGCCAACGCCAGUCACAACGUCCUCAAUAACUGGACGCCGGAAGAGAUGGCCGUCUUUCACGCCGCUUUGCUCCAGCACGGCAAAGAUUUCCCCCAAGUUGCUCAACAUUUACCAUCGAAAACGGCCAGCCAGUGUAUCCAAUUCUAUUACCUCUGGAAGAAAAUCUGCCGGCCUCAGGAAUACGCCUCGAUUAAGCGAUCCAUCCCGUUCGGCGGACCUACUGCUGCCGCCCCCCAAUCUUGUAGCCCUAGUCUGAUGGACGAGACGAGUCUGUGCGACUGGCGUGACGUUGGAUGCAGCGAAAGUGAUCUGAUUAGUCUGACGCAAGCGUCCGCCGUCGUGUCGCAGGAUUGCUCGACAUCUUCUUCGCCCUCCUCUUCUUCGCUAUUGCUGCUCUCCCCCUAUUUCCAGUAAUGGAGCGACUCCGCGACGUUAUCAAGGCAACCAAGCCAAUCCGUCGCCUUCCGUCUCCCUUGCCGACAAGUUGUACCCGUGCUCAGUCUGUCACAAGGUGUUUGACAAAGUCAAGA
rnacentral:misc_RNA from 1 species